UNGCAUCUCACCCUGGACAGGCAAGCCUGGUU
rnacentral:piRNA from 1 species